CGGACGGGUGAGUAAUGUCUGGGAAACUGCCCGAUGGAGGGGAAUAACUACUGGAAACGGUAGCUAAUACCGCAUAACGUCGCAAGACCAAAGAGGGGGACCUUAGGGCCUCUUGCCAUCGGAUGUGCCCAGAUGGGAUUAGCUAGUAGGUGGGGUAACGGCUCACCUAGGCGACGAUCCCUAGCUGGUCUGAGAGGAUGACCAGCCACACUGGAACUGAGACACGGUCCAG
rnacentral:rRNA from 1 species